AGGGUUUGAUCAUGGCUCAGGAUGAACGCUGACAGAAUGCUUAACACAUGCAAGUCUACUUGAUCCUUCGGGUGAUGGUGGCGGACGGGUGAGUAACGCGUAAAGAACUUGCCCUGCAGUCUGGGACAACAUUUGGAAACGAAUGCUAAUACCGGAUAUUAUGUGAGUUUCGCAUGAAGUUCAUAUGAAAGCUAUAUGCGCUGCAGGAGAGCUUUGCGUCCUAUUAGCUAGUUGGUGAGGUAACGGCUCACCAAGGCGAUGAUAGGUAGCCGGCCUGAGAGGGUGAACGGCCACAAGGGGACUGAGACACGGCCCUU
rnacentral:rRNA from 1 species